rnacentral:rRNA from 1 species
GACGGAGGGUGCAAGCGUUGUUCGGAAUCACUGGGCGUAAAGGGCGCGUAGGCGGACUUGUAAGUCGGGUGUGAAAACUCGGGGCUCAACCCCGAGCCUGCUUCCGAAACUGCGAGUCUUGAGGACCGGAGAGGAAAGUGGAAUUCCUAGUGUAGCGGUGGAAUGCGUAGAUAUUAGGAAGAACACCAGUGGCGAAGGCGACUUUCUGGACGGUUCCUGACGCUGAGGCGCGAAAGCUAGGGGAGCAAACAGG